rnacentral:lncRNA from 1 species
UUUAAAAAAAGGUAGAACAAAACAUAUUUAUUAUAAAGGUUACAAUGAUUCCGUUUCCAUAAUAAAAGCAAAGUAUUACAGUAUAAAAUGAUAUUGGCAUGAGAUGUAUGUGCUUUAGAGAAAGUAAAGAACAUGAAAAUUGUACUAUAAUAUACAAUUGAACAUUUGUAAGAUAUCAAUGCUCAGAAACGUAAUAUUGCUUUAAAUGAGAGAGGUUGAGGGUGAUACAUACAACCAAUAAUAUAACAAGGCAACGUACACAGUUGUCCCCACAAUGAUGCAGCGCAGGAGACCCGCUUGUUCAAAGUUUGGAAUUUCAGUUGAUUACUUAGGCGCCUAUCAGUGUAGUUUCUUGGCGCCUAUCAGUGUAGAUUUUGGGGCCUAUCCGUGUAGAUUUUGGGCCUAUCAGUGUAGAUUUUGGGGCCUAUCCGUGUAGAUUUUGGGGCCUAUCAGUGUAGAUUUUGGGGCCUAUCAGUGUAGAUUUUGGGGCCUAUCAGUGUCGUUAUUUAAAUGCCGGAUCUCUAUGGCAAGACCUCUCCGAUCAGAGCCCUCCACACAACCUCUCCAAUCAGAGCCCUCCACACAACCUCUCCAUCAGAGCCCUCCACACAACCUCUCCAAUCAGAGCCCUCCACACAACCUCUCCAAUCAGAGCCCUCCACACAACCUCCCAAUCAGAGCCCUCCACACAACCUCUUCCAAGCAGAGCCCUCCACACAACCUCUCCAAUCAGAGCCCUCCACACAACCUCUCCAAUCAGAGCCCUCCACACAACCUCUCCAAUCAGUCUUGCGAGAAAGUAAGUUCUGUCGAUGA